rnacentral:rRNA from 1 species
CUACACGGGUAUCUAAUCCCGUUCGCUCCCCUGGCUUUCGCGUCUCAGCGUCAGUAGGCGUCCAGGACCUCGCUUUCGCCACGGGCGUUCCUUCCGAUCUCAACGCAUUUCACCGCUCCACCGGAAGUUCCAGGUCCCCCUACGCCCCUCCAGGAAGAUCGUAUCCGCGCCCGUUCCCCGGUUGAGCCGGGGGAUUUCAGCGACGGACGUGUCUCCCCGCCUACACGCGCUUUAAGCCCAGUGAUUCCGAAUAACGUUCGCACGGUUCGUCUUACCGCGGCUGCUGGCAC